GUUGUUUUCGAGGACAUUUCGAUAAGUAUUUUUCUACACGUAGAGAUUGCUUGUUUCGUUCUCGUAUUGCAAAAUAUCAGGCUUCCAACUCGCAUGGUAAUUGCAGCUGCCACCACGGUAAAAAAGUGUUACACAGUUCGGAGAGGCACAGGGAAGGUAAAGAGCUUCCUCCUGGAAUGACCUGAUACAUUACCCUACUCUUAGAAGACGCAUUGUCGUCGAAAGGAGCGCGCAUUAGCCGCGGAUAAUUAUUAUCGUCGUUUACUCGUGCGAAACAGUGCCGUCUCUGGCCGAGAAGCCGGUGGGAAAGGGGAGAAGGAGAACGAUACCUGGUGGAAUCCCACGAGGACUAACGACGCCCGGACGAUUCUCCGCGUCCCCGUUAAAACGGCUCCUCCGUGGACUUAUCGAAGCCGGUUUAUGAGGCGUCCGAAUCGAAUUUUUCCGCCGACGACGGCGCAUAAUCAUUAUAUCGGACGCGCCGGUUUAACCAGUCCCGAUACAAUCUUUCCCAUGCUAAAUAUAUCAGAGCACUGGCUAAAUCCGUAUCGCCCAUUCGAAUCACUAAAGACGCACAGAAGCUAUUCAGAUGUUCGUUUACGAUGAAGAUCAUUUUUAGAAAAUUUGCUGGAGUAUUCGCGAAUGUUAUAUCAUAUACAGUUAUCAUCAUGCAGUUCAUUUAAUUUUCUUUUGUAUUUUCGAAUUUGCGGCGGGUUUACAAACUUUAACAUUUACCAAAAAUUCUAAGAAUAAACCGUGUUUGCCAGUACGGAUACAAAAACCCAGCACACGAAAAGCAAAACAAAGCUGUAUCGUCGUUAGUUUAGCCAAAGUCAAGCUCGCGUAGUAAAUAUUUGUAACCGGUCGUCGCGGAUUUCCAGGAAUUAAUUCGCCUCGGUGCGCGGAAGGGUCACGAGCGAAUUCCAGAAAUUUCAUCCCCACUCCCACUCGCAAUCGUCGUGUCCUCGGUAACCGACCGAUGGUUUCCCUGAUUAAUUCAUCAAACGGUGUCGAGGGUGGCAGACGUCGAGUUCGUCCCUUCAGGAAGAGCCGCAAGCCCAUCUCGGAUACUCUAUGGCGAUUCCAGCUGACAAACCGGUGGGAAACUCGGGACACUGGACCAACGGUUCCACGUGACAUUAGGCAAUAAUUAACCAGCUUCGUCGAACAUCAAACGUAGCACUCUCCGUUUCCACCAGCGAAGAUUCCGUCAUCCGGUGCGAUGUCAACGGCCUGAGUUUCGUCACGUUUUGGGGAAUCGUGUCUGUUUGUCCUCGGCGUGUCCACAGAGGCUUCCACUCGAAGAGGAAAGACAACGAGGGGCCUGUGACAAUUGUUUCCUGGACCACUUCCCCGACAACUGGUGAAUCAAUGCCGGAUUCGGCUGGACGAGGAGGAACGAAGAUCUCGGGUGAGUUUCGGAGCUGAUUAGGAGGAAUCGGGGAAAGAUGGGAACAAUGCGCCUGCUUGAUCCCUUUUUCUAGGAAUUUAGUCCGGGACCUUGGCAGUGCUAAUAUGUAGAAACAUUUUGGGAAAAUGUAGCCCGUUAAAUAUCGUGUACGUACAUUUUUCUAAUAUCUUAAAGCAUUCCACUUCUAACGCUCUCAGCCCUUUCCACCGAGAAAGGUUCGCCUUAUCAGCGAUCAACUUUCUCCGUAAGACGCUUGCUCUGUAAAAGUUAAUGGACCGCCAGACUUUGUAUCUCGAGAUGCUUUCUUUAUCUUAACGUAGAAGAGACAAGCUUUUUCUAUUCUUAAAAUUAUCGCUUUAGUCGCAUUUAGCUUAGACGCAGCCACUCUUCUCUUCUUGUCUACUUGGAACGGAGGAUUACAUCGUGCAGAGGUGGGCUGUUUGAGGAAAAUACCUUUCCAGAUAACCAUUCACAAGAAUAUAAAUGCUUGUGGAGCAGAUAGGAAGAGAACUUAGUUCGUUCAGCGUGAAAUUUCAUUUGAUUGAUGUAAUUAAUACAGAUUUUAAUUGCGAUUGGACAAACA